UUCAACGUGGCUGUGACUCGAGCCAAAGCUCUGCUGAUCGUGGUGGGAAACCCCCUGGUAUUGAAUGCAGAUUCUACCUGGGCCCGCUUUAUCGAGUACUGCAAAGAGGAAGGAGGCUAUGAGGGCUUCACGCAUGCUGAGGAAGAUGAGGGGGAGAUCGUAGCCAGAUUGUCUGCACUCUACAUCAGCAUUGAGGCUCAGAUUGAGACUGCCGAGAGUGUUGUCCAACAACAACUGGAUCCUGAAUGGAGGAACGACAUGUGAGAAACCGGAAGAGAGACGAUGUCCAGUGGGAAAACUUGAAGAGCAUUAUUACUAUAUAAAUACAAAUCACUGCUCGGCAUUAAGAGUCAGUAUUCAUCUGACAUGAGGUCAGGGAAGACAUUUUAAUUAUCAGUAACAGCAUUUGGCCAAAGAUGAAAGUUACAGAGAAAUGAAUUGCACUUAAAGAUGAAAAACAUUUAAAUAUUCAGUCUUCUCAGGGUUCAAGUUUUUUUUAUCUAUAUCACAGCUAUUUAUAAGUCAAUAAAAUGUAUUAGUUGAUUAUUUGUGUGUUGAAUCACAAAAAAAACUAAAUCAAAGUGUGGCAUUUAAAGAAUAUAAAACCUCAAAUUACCAUUACUCUAGCCUGUAUUAUGUCAUAGCAUGAAAAUGCAGGAUCUUUUUAAAUAAUUUUUCACAGCUGUUUAGUUGGGGCUUUUUCUGUCAAACCAACAAGGGUAUGAUGCAUACUUCUUGUUUACCUUCACAAAUAAAUUUGUAAAUCAUGCAGUGCAUUUGUAUUCGGGGUGCUGUGUCAGAAGUUUUUACAACCAUUUGUUGCAUGUACUGGUGAAGAUUCUCAGUUAUCUAGGUCAUAGUCAUUCCAAAAAACAAAAACCAUUGGACUCUGUUUAGCAAGUCUGCAGACAUUUUGCUUCCCAUCCAGGAAGCUUUUUCAAUUCAAAAUGUUUUGUUGCAUGACUAAAGACUUUGCACAACUGUACUUGUACUGUACUGGACUUGAAUGCACCCAUUUUCCUUUGCAGAUUUCCCCAGAUGGAUAUUAAAUUCAAAUCUUUCCAUAGGGGAAAAAAAAAACAUAUUCAGGAUCGCUUUUGACUGGGCAGUU